AAAUGGCUGCUCCAAGGUUUACAGCUCUCUGUGUCUCCAGUGAUUUCUUCCUAAAGUUGCUGCCCCCAAGGAUAUAACAGAAUUUCACUCAUUUGUGAGGAUCACUUUGGCCCUAUGAAGAUCCAGUUCUUGGAUCCAUGGGGGCAUGUGAGAGCCUCAGCUUUCAUUUAAAAACAUUUUACAGUUUGAAAGAGAAGUACUGAGAAGUCAAGGGUAGCUGCUCCUUUGUAACUGAGAACUUGUCUUUCAAUUCCUGUCUCUCCUGCUGGCCUGUUGGGUGACCUUAACAAGUCAUUUCGCCUCUCUGUGCCUCAGUUUCCACAUCUGUAAAAUGGAGGAUUUCCCCCUAUCAGUUCAGAUUGGAGCUUACUUUAGUUGCUGGGUGUCUCUGUGUUAGCAUCUCAUGGAGAGGCAUGCUGUUCCUGGGAGGCAGAGGGGCCCAGGGCAACUGAGAAGGAGAGAGAAGAGACACCAUGUUGAUGGGGCCCCAGUUGGCUCAGGGGAGUCAUAGCAGGUGCACCUGGAUGGCUACCAGGGCCUUGCCUCUCAGAGGAGGAACAUGUCUGAGAGAAAAGUGGCAGCGGCUAGAAUUCAAAUGAUUGACAGGAAAAAGCCAAAAAGUAGAGUUAACAUCAUAAUAGGAAAGGUCCUGAGUGAGAUGCUUGCCCGCAGGAGCACUGUGAGAGGAGAGAAACUACAUUGGGAGAAUCUGGAGCCAGUCACUGGAAGGGUGGCACUUGCUGUUGAUAUCUUAUGCUGGAUAAUCUGAGGCAUCUCCACUUGUAAAGGAAAAACAACACUUUUUUUUACAAAUAUCUGGAAUGAUCAUAUGUAAAAUAUUAUAGGUAUGAGAGUUGUAAAAUAUUGGGUGCAGUCUGUCUUUAAAAGAAUUAUUACUGAAGCAUCCUGCUCUGUGCUGACUGCUUGCAUCUGCUGUUUCACUGAUCUAGUCAUAUCUUUUGUCUACUGACACUAUUUAA